UACGUAGGGGGCUAGCGUUGUCCGGAAUCAUUGGGCGUAAAGCGCGUGUAGGCGGCUCGGUAAGUCCGCUGUGAAAGUCGGGGGCUCAACCCUCGAAUGCCGGUGGAUACUGUCGAGCUAGAGUGCGGAAGAGGCGAGUGGAAUUCCUGGUGUAGCGGUGAAAUGCGCAGAUAUCAGGAGGAACACCAGUUGCGAAGGCAGCUCGCUGGGACGUUACUGACGCUGAGACGCGAAAGCGUGGGGAGCAAACAGG
rnacentral:rRNA from 1 species